rnacentral:lncRNA from 1 species
UCUCUUCACCAUGAUUUAUACCAAUAAACCUCUAAAAGUCAUAUAUGAAAGAAGGACAUUACAUAUUGAAGUUUUCAUCUAUUCAAUCAUUAUUCAAAGUCAUGUGUCUAUAAUAUAUUUCAAUUUGUUUUGUCUUCUAAUUUUCAAAAUUUAAGGUAAAACUCCAUUGAGUUAUGGUGUUCUUAAUUUACUUACCAUGGAUAGUGAUUAUCCAAACAAGAAGAUUGAUAGUAAAGGUACUACAUACCAGG